GUUUUAAUCUUUAUCCUCGCUUCGGGUCCGUUUCGUUAUUUCCGCAGCAUGUGAAGCAGACCAGCUCCGUGUGAUGGAGUCGGGUCGUUUUACUGAGAUCUAAAAGCUGUUUAACGGUUUAACUAGCUUUUUCUUCGUCAGCAGCUUUUGACUGUUCCGCUAAAACCGUAACGAACUUCACAAACCACUUUGGGACACUUUUUAUUUUGUAGUUGGCGUUUUUCAGACGAUGUUUGAUGAUUGCAGAAUUUACAUUUGUUUGUUUUUUUCGGCUGAACACCUUUAAAUAAAGCUUCGUUAUUUUUUGUAUAAUAGGACCAUGUCACUGACCCGCACCUGGACGCCCCUCAGGCCUCGGGCAUGUUUCGCCUCAUGGGGAAGUGAAGUGUGAGGACGCGGCGCCCCCUGCCGCUGCCGCUACAGACCAUGGCCGAGUCCAGCUAUUCCGACCUGAUCGCCAAACACUACAACUACACCGGAAAGUUUCGAAAGACGCAGCAGGACUCGGGCCUGAAGGCCGACUCAGUGGUCUUCAUCAUAGUGUGCUGCUUCAUCAUCCUGGAGAAUGUCCUGGUCCUCACCACCAUUUGGAGGACCAAGAAGUUCCACAAGCCUAUGUACUACUUCAUCGGGAACCUGGCGCUGUCCGACCUUCUGGCCGGAGUCGUCUACACCGCCAACAUUCUGCUGUCUGGCGCCAACACCUACAAGCUGACGCCCACGCAAUGGUUCUUCAGGGAGGGCAGCAUGUUCGUGGCGCUGGCCGCGUCCGUCUUUAGCCUCCUGGCCAUCGCCAUCGAGCGUCACCUCACUAUGCUUAAGAUGAAGCUGCACAACAGCGGUAACACCUGCCGCGUGUUCCUGCUCAUCAGCACCGUGUGGAUGAUCGCGGCGGUGCUGGGAGGCCUGCCGGUGAUGGGCUGGAACUGCAUCCGGAGCAUGGCGCAGUGCUCCACGGUGCUGCCGCUCUACCACAAGACCUACAUCCUGUUCUGCACCACCGUCUUCAGCGUCAUCCUCAUGGCCAUCGUGGUGCUUUACGCUCGGAUCUAUGCACUGGUGCGCACUCGCAGCCGCAAACUUGUUUUUCGCAAAGUGUCCAACGGGCGCAGCAGCAGCGGUGCCAACAGCAAGAGCUCGGAGAAGUCCCUGGCGCUGCUGAAGACGGUCAUCAUAGUCCUGAGCUGUUUCAUCGCUUGCUGGGCUCCUCUCUUCAUCCUGCUGCUGCUGGACGUGGCCUGUGAGACGCUGCGCUGCCCCAUCCUCUACAAGGCCGAGUGGUUCCUGGCGCUCGCCGUCCUCAACUCCGCCAUGAACCCGCUCAUUUACACGCUGACCAGCAACGAAAUGCGCCGCGCGUUCCUCAAGACGCUGAUGUGCUGCACCGCAUGCUUCCGGCCUCGCUCCAAGUUUACCGGACCGUUAGUUGGCGCAGAGUUCAGCCGCAGCAAGUCGGACAACUCCUCACACCCCAACAGGGAGGAGGCGGAGUCCACAGCGGCAAACGUCAUGUCGUCCUCCUAAAGGUCCAGACGCUGGACCGCAACCCGUCUUAACCGGACCUGUGUACUGGUGUGAACUCUUCAGGACUCACAGAAGCUGUCAGACUGGUUGGACCAGUGAACCCUCAGAGUUAGUGAAUCACAAGCAGAGUCCCUGAGACAAGAAGGUCUGAGCUUCCUGGGAGCCUUUGUGGUGUUCUACUGACCCCUAAGAUCAGAAGCUGUAGUUGGCAGGUAUUUAAGGAGCUUCGUUAAUUCAUGUACAUUUUGUUUUACCUUUUUUCCAUCAAGCACAUAUGGAAACAAUGUUUUUACUCACUGAAUUCACUGAAACUGCUGCAAAAGGCUUUGAUCUGAUUUUACCUGGUUCAAAAAAAGGAAAAGUAUGACAAGAUUUUUCCAUCACAGCAUAUUUAUCAUGAGAUCUGUCAGCAUAACACAUACUCAAAUACCUGUGAAAUAUAUAACUAAAUAAAUAAUUGUACUUAUACUGAAAUAACACAGUCAAUGUGAGGCUUUUACCAUAACAGUGUGAUCAGAGGUUCCUCCAUCACCAAUAAUUAAUAUUAAUAUUAAUAAUUGUUAUUGUUCAGUAACAACUGUAACAUCUAUAAACAAACAAAAAAUGAAGAAUGAAAAUAAAAAUCUUUAAUUUAUUUGAAUGAUUUUUACUCUUCUUCUUUUAAAUGUAGUGAUGUAAGUACAGAAUAAAGCAGAACCAGCUAAAUAAAAAACAUUUGUCCCACUGAGCAGCACUUGGGCAUUGUUACAUCCCAGCAUUACAACAGGUCACAACUGAACUUCAGUCAAUUUGGGAGUAAAGGUGUAAAAAUAUUUUUAAAUGUUUUAAGUUCUUCCCUUACUUCUCCACAUGUUUUUAUUAUCAUUAGAGUGACAAUGUAAAAAACCCUGUCUGUUGUAAUUUGAUUCAUAUUUGAAAAAUGUGUUAGUUACAUGAGCAAAAGGUUCAGAUGUUCGGAGUUUGAUUUCUGUCCAUAUUACAAUAAAUGAAUGAAAUGAAAGCAUCCUUUUAAAAACUGAUGUGUCAUUUAAAUGUCAUGAAUCUUAAAUCACAUUAAAUCACCUUGUGCAUGAACAUGAACGACAGCUACUGAAUGAAGAUAAACUCAUAGAGGUGCUGCCCAAAAUCUCAGAAAAUCAAUUUCCCAUUUUAAAGAGCAUCCAAACAAAUAAAACCCUAUUACCAUGGUAACCGGUUGGCCUCGGUUUUGCAUCAGAAGCUGGUUGAUUGACAGAUUUUCAGUAUAUUAUUAGAUUUUCAUGUGCAGGCUGGACUACUGUAACUCCUUACUCAUAGGAUGUCCUAACAGCUCCUUAAAAAGCCUACAGCUCAUUCAAAAUGCUGCAGCCAGAGUUCUGACAGGACUUAGAAAGAGAGAUCACAUUUCUCCUACAUUAGCUUCUCUGCACUGGCUGCCUGUAAAAUGUAGGAUAGAAUUAAAAAUUCUCCUACUCGCAUACAAAGUACUCAAUGAUAAAGCUCCUUCUUAUCUUAAAGACCUUAUAGUUCCUUAUGCUCCCAGCAGAACACUUCGUUCUCAGAGCGCUGGGCUACUUGUGGUUCCUAGAGUGUUUAAAUGUAGAACAGGGGGCAGAGCUUUUAGCUACCAAGCUCCUCUCCUCUGGAACCAGCUCCCUCUUCAGGUUCGAGAAGCUGACACACUCUUCACCUUUAAGAUUAGGCUUAAAACCUUCCUUUUUGAUAAAGCUUAUAGUUAGAGAUGGUUCAGGUCACUGGCAAUUAUUGUUAGUCACAGGAACCAUCUCUUAGUUAAGCUGCAAUAGACAUAGACUGCUGGGGGACUUAAUUUAUACACUGAGCUCCUCUGUUUCCUUCUACCUCCUCUGUCCCAUAACCUCCCAUCAUUGUCCCAUUAGUUGUGCUUCUCCCCCCCCCCCCCCCCCCCCCCCCCCCCCCCCCCCCCCCCCCCCCCCCCACCCACCCCCACCCCACUCUUUCUCCCUCUCUGUCCUCACCUACAGGUAUCAUUGGACUCAAAGUUUGGUGUCUGUGAUGGGCAGCUGCGGAUCCAACCAUCCUGCCUGCAUCCAGUCCCUGGUCCUACCAUCCUGCCUGUGCUCUGUUGUUGCUUGUUGUUGCUUGUUGCUGUUGCUGUGCUUUUCUAUCUCUCUAUCCUCUCACCCCAACCGGUCGAGGCAGAUGGCCGCCCACAUCCAGUCUGGUUCUGCUGGAGGUUUCUUCCUCGUUAGAGAGGGAGUUUUUCCUCUCCACUGUUGCUGUCAAAUUAAAUGCUUGCUGUAUGUGGGAUUUGUUGGGUUUAGUUGUGUGAGGUUUUAAACUUUGUAAAGUGCCUUGAAAUAACUUUGUUGUGAUUUGGCGCUAUAUAAAUAAAAUUGAAUUGAAUUGAA